AGAACGGGUCAGAAUAUUUCAAUUGUUGUUGAUGCUUAGCUCCCUGGAAUUGUAAGUUAUAAGGCAGAAUCAAUUAGGAAUUCCAGUGAACUAAGUAAAGUGGCAGAUUUUAUUGAUGAGCAAAAGAGAGAAUAAAAGUCUGAUUUAAUUUAUUCUACCUUCUCUAAAGAAGAGGCAAACAGAAUUGUGCGAAUUCCCUUAGCAACCUCAUGCAGACUUCAUGGUAUAGAAGGGGGAGGCCUCUAUAGAAUUCUCUGUGAGAAGUGCUUAUAAACUAUUACAUGGCUUUCUUCCUAAUUAUUUACAGACUGAGGCGCUAAUUUAUUUUACAAAAAAUAAUGGAAUAUUCACAUUCCAGGGAAAAUUAAAAUCCUAAUCUGGAAAAUUUCUUGGAAUUUUAAUCAUCAUUUUGUUAAUCUUCGGUGCAAGAGAUUGCUCUCGAUGGUAGUAUGUCCCGGAUAUGGAGCAGCUACUGAAAACAUUGACCAUAUCUUCAGAGAAUGCCUUGUGAGGCGAGAAGUUUGGGUUAGCUCAAAUCUGGCAUGGGUAUUAACAGAAUUGAUUUUGUCACACUAGGAGUGGCUAACCUGGGUGUUCAAUAAUAGUUCCAGCAUUCACUGUCGAGUAUUUUGCUACUCUUUGUGGGUGAUCUAGACGGACAGAAACAAAGGAUUACAUGAGGGAAAGAAAAGUACGAGCUUAGAAAUUGCUGCAUGGAUAAACAUAUAUAUUAAGGAAUUAGAGGGGUGUAAGGUUCGAGAUUUUACCACGAGGCAUGAGUCCAUAAGUUGGUGUCCACCAGUUGGUUCCAUUUUCAAACUUAAUUUCGACGCCGCUUUUGAUGACUCUCGGGCAAAAUCAGUCUUAGUGGAGGUGGCUAGAAAUUCUUCGAGGGAGGUCAUCGCCUUCAAAACAGUGGCUUAUGGGGAGGUGGCCUCUUCAUUUGCAGUAGAGGCCCUUGCGUGCCUUCAAGCAGUGUUUAUGGGAAAACAGAUGGGGUUCACAUCAGUUAUCAUCGAAGGGAACUCGGUAUCAGUAAUAAAAAAGUAACUCAGAGAAGACUAAUAAAUCAGUGAUUGGGGGUAUAAUACAAAAUAUUCAGCAGCAAAAACAACUUUUUCACCAAAUAACCUUUCAACAUGCAUACAGAUCUGCAGAUACUAUGGCUCACAACUUAGCUAGAGAAGCGAUGAAAGGAGAAUCGCGAGCAUAAAUGAUCGGAAGGGUCCUUAAGCAAGGAACAUUGAGGUGGAUCAACGGAGAAUGAGGGAACCUGAUUGAGGGCUGUUUGAUAGAGGGUCUCUGCAUAGGAAGAAAACAGGAAAGUGGGAUUUUGGAAAUCGGUGCAAUAAUUAUGGUAAUGCUGAUUGGAUUCCAACUGUUAUCAGAUUAGAAGUUUAUUUUAAUUUUCUGUUUAGUUUUAAUUCGUCUAUUUCUUUUCUGUUUAGUUUUAAUUCGUCUAUUUCUUUGGUAAUAAUUUUAAGUUUUUGCCACUGUUGGGUUUUGUAUUUAUUUUUUGGUGGGCUUGUGGAUUUUUUAGCCCAUUUUUAUCUUUUUUU
rnacentral:lncRNA from 1 species